CUGGCAGCCAGGCAAGUGCAAAUAUAAGACACUCAAAAAAAUAUAUGCUUUGUAUACAACCAUUCAAGGUAACAUUUGUUAUUUACAUACAUGUUACAGCUAAUCUAGAAGAACCACAGUGUAUGCCAAUCAUGCUAACUCUUGUAAACUUGUUUUACUUGUCUUUAAUGACAGACACAUUACAGGUUAUGCUCCGGAAGAUGGAGACAUUGGAGGAGAACCAGCGAGAGGCUCUCCUAUUCAGGCGACUACAGGGCAGACACACUGCCAGUGCCAGUGAUGGACCUACAGGUGGCCCAAACACAGGCUGAACUCCAAGACGCCUUAAGCGAGGAGCGCCUUAAGGUGCUGGAGUUGCGAAAGAGAGUGACGCUGUGAUGAAGUGGAAGACGGGACUGGGAGAGAAAGCUGUGGAGCUCCUCAUAGAGGAGACACUCAAACACAACCCGGCAGCCCGUUCAAAACAAGCCAGGGCCAACAGACAGGACCUGUAGCGGGGGCUGGCAGAAGAUUUUAAUUCACUGUUUGGCACUUUGUUUGAAAUAAAAUGACAAUGUUACAUGGAAA